rnacentral:lncRNA from 1 species
UUGUUGAUAGCCAUUGUUAUAGGUUUAGGUUCAGUAAAAAGGUGGCUUCAUAUGAAUAUUAGUGUUUUUGAUUAUUCAAAACCUUAAAUUUGUCACCAAGCGCUUGCAACAUCUAUUUAGGUUGCACACAAGUUGCUCGAUAAAAUGCUUGAAUGAAGUUUUAUUCUCACAUUGGUUACAUUCAAGUGUAUGCCACCAUAAGGGUCGCAACGGAUCAGGCAUGUGGAAAUUCAACAGAAGGUGACACAUCAGUUUCAUCAGUUUAAAAAGAGAGACUGUGAUGUCUUUAUUAUGUUGAUAUUUAGGGGAAAACGGUUACUGAUUGAUUUCAAGGGUUUCCUUCUUCUAUGUUUUUUUUUGUUCGUUAUAAUUGCUAUAUCUACUUUUUUGUCUACUAGAUGUGGAUUUUGAUAGUAGAUAAAAGUUAUGAAACG